rnacentral:rRNA from 1 species
CCUACGGGAGGCAGCAGUGGGGGAUAUUGCACAAUGGAGGGAACUCUGAUGCAGCGACGCCGCGUGAGGGAAGAAGGUUUUCGGAUUGUAAACCUCUGUCUUCGGUGACGAAACGAGACGGUAGCCGAGGAGGAAGCCACGGCUAACUACGUGCCAGCAGCCGCGGUAAUACGGAGGAUGCGAGCGUUAUCCGGAUUUAUUGGGUUUAAAGGGUGCGUAGGCGGAAUAUCAAGUCAGCGGUAAAAAUUCGGGGCUCAACCCCGUCGUGCCGUUGAAACUGAUGUUCUUGAGUGGGCGAGAAGUAUGCGGAAUGCGUGGUGUAGCGGUGAAAUGCAUAGAUAUCACGCAGAACUCCGAUUGCGAAGGCAGCAUACCGGCGCCCAACUGACGCUGAAGCACGAAAGCGUGGGUAUCGAACAGGAUUAGAUACCCUUGUAGUC